UAUGACAGCCAUAUCACCCUGCAGCCCGAGACCGGUUACUCACUGAAGCGAAGCAGGUCUGAGCUUGGUCAGUACCUUGAUGGGAGACCACAUGGGAAAACUAGAUUGCUGUUGGAA
ensembl:rRNA 5S_rRNA 5S ribosomal RNA